GUCUAUGGCCAUACCACCCUGAACGUGCCCGAUCUCGUCUGAUCUCGGAAGCUAAGCAGGGUUGGGCCCGGUUCGUACUUGGAUGGGAGGAGCUGCAUUUGGUGCUGGGAAGU
rnacentral:rRNA from 1 species